rnacentral:rRNA from 1 species
CGGUAAUUCCAGCUCCAAUAGCGUAUACUAACGUUGUUGCAGUUAAAAAGCUCGUAGUUGGAUUUCUGAUCUUUGCCAAUGGUUGUGUCGCCGCGUGCGAGGCGCCUUGCGCAGAGGUCAACAUAUGUCACGAGCCAGUGUGAUCUAUUCAUUUAGGUCCACUGGGUAAUGACUCGUUUACUUUGAGAAAAUUAGAGUGUUCAAAGCAGGCAUUUGCCUUGAAUAUGUUAGCAUGGAAUAAUAGCAUAGGACUUCGGUUCUAUUUGUUGGUUGUUCGAGAACUGGAGUAAUGAUUGAUAGGGACGGUUGGGGGCAUCCGUAUUCUCAAGCGAGAGGUGAAAUUCUUGGACCUUGGGAAGACGAACAGCUGCGAAAGCGCUUGCCUAGGACGUUCUCUUUAAUCAAGAACGAAAGUUGGGGGAUCGAAGACGAUCAGAUACCGUCGUAGUCUCAACUAUAAACUAUGCCAGCUAGGGAUCGGUGGGUCUUUGUCACGAGUCCAUCGGCACCUUACGAGAAAUCAAAGCAUUUGGGUUCCGGGGGGAGUAUGGUCGCAAGGCUGAAACUUAAAGGAAUUGACGGAAGGGCACCACCAGGAGUGGAGCCUGUGGCUUAAUUUGACUCAACACGGGAAAACUUACCAGGUCCGGACAUAGUAAGGAUUGACAGAUUGAAAGCUCUUUCUUGAUUCUAUGGGUGGUGGUGCAUGGCCGUUCUUAGUUGGUGGAGUGAUUUGUCUGGUUAAUUCCGUUAACGAACGAGACCCGCGCCUGCUAAAUAGUCGGCCUCACUUCUGUGGGUGUUGCACUUCUUAGAGGGACCAUCCUGGGUAUACCGGAAGGAAGUUGCGGGCAAUAACAGGUCUGUGAUGCCCUUAGAUGUUCUGGGCUGCACACGGGCUACACUGCAAGAUACAACAAGCGUCGAUCACGCCUGACUGGAAGGUCCGGCCAAUCUUUGAAUAUCUUGCGUGAUUGGGAUAGACCAUUGCAAUUAUUGGUCUUCAACGAGGAAUUCCUAGUAAACGCGUGUCAACAACACGCAUUGAUUACGUCCCUGCCCUUUGUACACACCGCCCGUCGCUCCUACCGAUUGGAUGUUUCGAUGAGCCGUUUGGAGGACUAAGCUGAAAGCGUCAGCCGGAAGCUACGUCCGAAAUUCUGCAAAUCUGAAUAUCUAGAGGAAGGAGAAGUCGUAACAAGGUAACC